UCGAGAACGGUCGCCCUCGCACCUGGUGUGCGCCGGCGGGCGGGCGGGCGGCGGCGGCGCUAGCUCCGGGCUCCGGCGUGUGGUGGUGGCGGGAGGCUAGGGGAUCUGACAUCUUGAACUCGGGUGGCACAUUCGGUGGUCUGCGUUUCAGAGGGACUGACUAUAUUGGAAGCGCAAAGACUCAGAAACUUCGAGGCUUACUCUGCUCAAUAUAAGCUCACUUCAAGAACUUUGAUGGGGGAAGCCAAUCUUCUUGAAACGGCACGUUUGUUUUAGGGGAAAAUGGCAAUGACUUAGAUUGCUGCUCUUUCACGGGCUAUGCAGUCUGGAGGAUGCUUGGAUUUAUAAUGUUUUUCUCCCAUCUGCUGGUCACAGCUACAUAUUAAUGUAGUAUUAUUCAUAUGGCUGUCAAGUUCCAGCAGAUUUUACUUGGUCAAAAAGGAUUAGCUGAUUCAGGACUGUCGGCAGUGAAUUGACUACAUCUGGACUAAGCAUGACUUGCAUUCACGUUUUUUUUCCUUCAGAUAAAACUUGCGUUCUAUUCUUGUAGCGACCGAUUAGUUGUCAAGUAGCAGAUUGUUUAACUAUAAAGGCUUAGGGGGUAAAAGAGUGUAAUUUAGCAUGUAAUAAGAUGGGAAUGAUAGACAUCUUUCAUCCAUCUUGAGGAGGGGUGUUGGCUGUAUAUGUAAAAGGCCCAUGAGCUAUGUAUCUAUAUAUGUAUGAAUUCCUAGCAGAUAAUGAAGAACAGGUUCGGGAGUUUUCCCCAAAAUUCAA